AUUGAACGCUGGCGGCAUGCCUUACACAUGCAAGUCGAACGGUAACGCGGGGCAACCUGGCGACGAGUGGCGAACGGGUGAGUAACGCAUCGGAACGUGCCCAGUAGUGGGGGAUAGCCCGGCGAAAGCCGGAUUAAUACCGCAUACGACCUACGGGUGAAAGGGGGGGAUCGCAAGACCUCUCGCUAUUGGAGCGGCAGAUGUCAGAUUAGGUAGUUGGUGGGCUAAAGGCCCACCAAACCUUCGAUCUGUAGCUGGUCUGAGAGGACGACCAACCACACUGGGACUGAGACACGGCCCAGAGUCCGACGGGAGGCGGCAGUGGGGAAUUUUGGGCAAUGGGCGCAAGCCUAAUCCAGCCAUGCCGCGUGCGGGAAGAAGGCCUUCGGGUUGUAAACCGCUUUUGUCAGGGAAGAAACGCUCUGGGCUAAUACCCCGGGGUAAUGACGGUACCUGAAGAAUAAGCACCGGCUAACUACGUGCCAGCCGCCGCCGUAA
rnacentral:rRNA from 1 species